rnacentral:rRNA from 1 species
CCUACGGGAGGCUGCAGUGGGGAAUAUUGGACAAUGGGGGCAACCCUGAUCCAGCCAUGCCGCGUGUGUGAAGAAGGCCCUCGGGUUGUAAAGCACUUUCAGUGAGGAAGAACGCCUGUGGUUAAUACCCAUCAGGAAAGACAUCACUCACAGAAGAAGCACCGGCUAACUCCGUGCCAGCAGCCGCGGUAAUACGGAGGGUGCGAGCGUUAAUCGGAAUUACUGGGCGUAAAGCGCGCGUAGGUGGCUUGAUAAGCCGGUUGUGAAAGCCCCGGGCUCAACCUGGGAACGGCAUCCGGAACUGUCAAGCUAGAGUGCAGGAGAGGAAGGUAGAAUUCCCGGUGUAGCGGUGAAAUGCGUAGAGAUCGGGAGGAAUACCAGUGGCGAAGGCGGCCUUCUGGACUGACACUGACACUGAGGUGCGAAAGCGUGGGUAGCAAACAGGAUUAGAUACCCUAGUAGUC